CCUUCAGAUUUGGGUACCGCGCGCGUGUGUGAUGGUAACAGCAUUGUUUUGUCCCUGCACACUUGUAGACAAACGUUUUUUGGAUAACAUCCUUGGGCAAUUGUUCCGUGAUCUUGCCGGCACCAACAGUGUGCAGCCCUCCUGCUCAAGCCUGCCGGUUGCCCAUGCCGACUAGCCAAUUGCCCAAGGAUGACGCUGGUUCGUUGUCUUCGCUGUGGUGUUUCUGCCAUAGGGAGGGAGGACUUGGAGGAGGAACACAUUGUGGACCUUGCUUUGUUAGAUCCAUCAUCGUCCGCUAACUCCAUGGAAGACUUGGAGGAGGAACACAUUGAGGAUACAUCCAUGGAAGAGAUCUUACUGAAAGUUCAAACUGAACAAAUCAUUGCAUGCCGGGUGCUGAGAAGCAAGAGUCCAACGGCGGUUCAAGACGGGGUUGCUGCUGCUGCUGCUGCCGUGUUGGUCGACAUACGCAGCCAGCUCGGCCAUCAACACUGGCAUGUACAAGAUACAAGACACCAUUGUUGGUAGAUCUGUGUGAGUUGAGUGUAUCUCUGCACUGUAGCUUCCUAGCAGUUUAGUUAACGCAGCCGAAAGAGCAGCAGGCAGCGGUGUCCUCGGCGACACGCUGAUAUUUGAAAUGGUAUCCACCAAUAUGACGACGACUUUCUCGUAGAUCCCUCUCACCGCAUCUCUCCCUCAAUCCCCUAUCUCCACUCAAUUUGCUGAGACGGCUGCAGCCGCUUGUUGCUGCUCCCCGCAGCUCACCCCACCCCAUCACACCCACCCAACUCCCUCGCCACCAGACACCCACACCCACCCAAUCCUCUAAGCCCCCUGAGUCACACGCGCCCGCCAUGCCCUAGACAUCGGCAUCAAAUACCUAUGCCCGUUGUUGGUCCUCGCCAUCCGGAGCACCUGGAGAUGGGCGCCCCCGUCACGCCCGCCAUGUUGCCUCCUGUUGACCCGGGCUGCCAGUGCCCCUUCGCCUCCCUCCCUGCCUCAAUGCACCAGUCGCGGGCAACAACACAAGCAGCAGUCUAGACCGGCACUGCAUGUGGAGGACCUCCUCUACGCCGUCCGCGUCCUGCCUUCAUGUAGCUGCAGCCGUUGUUGGCGACCUUCUAGAAAACUUCCACGAGUUGCGGCCGCCAGCGACGUCCACACCCUUUUACUGCCUUGAUACCACUCCUUCCCGCUGCCAUUGGCCACAUCCCAAACUUGCAGCUGCUAGCAGUCUCGCAACUAAAUAUAUCAGCCAUGUGCAAGGAGAAGACUCACAUUAACAACGUGGCCAUUUGCCAUGUUGACUCUGGCAAGUCGACCACCAUUGGCCAUCUAAGAAGGAAGCCAUUGAGACCCGCCCUCUCCGCACGUUCACUCUUGGAGUGAAGCAGCUUCUACAAAGGACUUGGAGGAGGAACACAUUGAGGACCUUAAUUUGUUAGAUGCAUCAUCGUCCACUAUGUCCAUGGAAGAUCCUAUUGUAAGUUCAAACUGAACAAAGCUUUGCAUGCCGGUUGCUGAGAAGCAAGAGUCCAAUGGCGGUACAAGACGGUGUUGCUGCUGAUGCCGCUGAGUUGGUCGGCACAUGUGGCCAGCUCGGCCAUCAACAGUGGCGACGGCGGGAUGAGGACUUUGAGAAUGUGAAGUGCAGUUGCAAGCCGCUGGAGCUGUCAUGUACAAGAUUGAAGACACCAUUGUUGGUAGAUCUGUGUGAAUUGAGUGUAUCUGUGCACUAUAGCUUCCUAACAGUUUAGUUAACACAGCUGAAAGAGCAGCAGGCAGCGGUGUCCUCAGUGACACGCUGAUAGUUGAAAUGGUAUCCACCAAUAUGACGACGGCCUUCUCGUAGAUCGCUCUCACCGCAUCUCUCCCUCAAUCCCUUUUCUCCACUCAAUUUGCCAACAAAGAAGCAACCGCUCGUUGUUGCUCCCCGCUGCUCACCUCACCUUGCCGCUCUGCGGCCGGCCACCCCACCCCACCGACCCAACUCCCUUGCCACCGGACACCCCACCCACUCAAUCCUCUAAUCGCCAUGAUUCCUGUGCGCCUGCCAUGCCUAGAUGUCAGCGUCAAGAACCUUCACUUGGUGUUGGUCCUCGCCAUACAGAGCGCUUGAAGCUGGGCGCCCCGUCCUGGAAUGACCUGGGCUGGGCGCUCCUGUUGACCUGGGCUGCCGGUGCCCCUUUGCCUUCCUCCCUGCCCUAAUGCACCAGUCGUGAGUAGCGACAUAAGCAGUAGUCGAGACUGGCACUGGAUGUGGAGGACCUCCUUCACGGCAUCGGCGGACGUCUGAAAAACCUCCCCGAGCUGUGGCCGCCAGCGACGUCCGCGGCCUGCUGCUGCCUUGCGACCACUCCUUCCGUCCGAUGUUGGCCACAUCCCGAACUUGCAGCUGCUAGCGGGCUACGCGAGGAUGAUGUGUAUAUCUCCUCCCUAGCAAGGUUGAACCAGGCCCCAUCUACCUGCUCAACACUGGUGCCAAGGAGAAGCCCCUGCAUGAACAUGAACAUCAAGACCAUUGUUCACUGUAUGAAUCAACCAGCCCUUCUUCCUUUUCCCCGUUGAUGGUCGUCCAAGAUAAGACCCGACUCUCCUGAUCGAUGCCUUGGUUGUCGAAAUAUCUGGCCGCUGUAGUAUCGGGGUAGUGUGGUUGGGCAUAUCUAGGCUGGAUACGUAAGAACGAGGCAACAUCCAAGGCACAUCGACUAGAGGGGAUCACAAUGUCAUGCCUUUUUGGUGGACAAUGUUCAUUUGCUCCUGAGUGAUGACCCGUUGCUUUUUCCUCACCAUGAUGUCAAGCUUCCUGAAUAUUCUGAUUGCUACGUCCACCGUCUGAUGUGGGAUGUGCAAGUAGCACACUGGCCAGCUAGGCCGAUUGGAGCAGCAGGGGCAUUGCAUCUCACCGGCCUGUGGUGACCGCAGCAGCCCUCUUGUUGUUGUCGAUGCUGGAUGGUGUCCUCUUGCUUGGACAUAGUUGGUAACCCCAGCAUGCUGCUGCUCCCUGUGUUCAUCGAGUAUGGCACUAGCUUACAGGUCAUGUUCUUAUCAGUUUCUCGUGAUAAUAUUUACAUUGGCAUAGAAAUAUUCUUUGACAAUGAACUUCUUGAAACGAUACUUAGUGGUUUCAUCAUAUUUGUAGGAAUCAGUUACUUUUUUGAAUUUAUAGUAGCUACUGUUUUUUUUACAAAGCGACUUAUGCAUCAUCGAGUUAUUUUGGUACCAUUUAUUGAUUUGAUAUUUGUUGAUAUAUUCACUUAUUAGUUGUCGUGAUCUUCUGAAUCUUACAAAAGUUUUUAAUAUUCAGAGUUGAUAUGUGCUGCAGUCCCUCACCAACAACCUCUGCCACACACAAGUCUUUUCCAGUUCUUUCCUAUCCUGUUUUAGAUAGAUGAAUGUGUGUUUUCUUCUUUGUUGUUGUGCUAAAAACGAGGACUAAAUAGCAAGCAAGUUGUGACCAAUAGCUACACUACUUGGAACUGGAGGUCCUAGGGUCAACAGAGGCAUGCCUUAGUCUCCUCAUCUGGCAGAUGCUUCUCCCUUUUUGAUGAUAAUGAUCAGUUGCACAAUGCGUGGACUUCUUGCAGCAGCAACGCAUGCAGCUGUAGCAGCAGUAGCAGCGCGAGAUUGACAUCUUCCCACCACAAAUUAUCUAGGUGCAGCCCAACUCUGGGAAGGCUGCCAACAAGCAUGUUGUAGCAAUGUGGCAGCUGAAAAGCUCUAGGUCGUCUUGCUUUCAUUGAAAAUUCUUCAUGCUUGAAAUGUUCACUUUAGGUAGAUACACUGCCAUUACUUGUUGGCAACACACGAUCACAAGUUAGCUUUUCUGUCUCUUAUUGAUGGAGUAUCAAGCAUACUUGAUGCAUACAUGCCUUUCUGUGACUUCUUUCUAGCCAAUUAUUUUUGUCCAAAUUAUCGGAAAUUUUUCAUGUAAAAUUAUUGGAAUUUUUUCUUGUAAAAUUAUUGGUAAUGAUGUUUCACAGUUCAUGUUCUGUGAUCAAUUCAUUCAUUCAAAUAUACCGGCUGCCCCUUUCUUAUUUUGGUUACUAUUUUUUGUUCUUUUACAAGAUUUAUCUUUUGAAAUGAUGAAUACUAGUAGCACUACAUUUAUAGGCAGCAGUAGCACUACAUGUACCAAUUUUUAAGUAUUAUUACUACUAUGACAAGUUUUCCUUCUGAAAUUAUGCCGUUCGCAGACAGUAAUUCACCAGUCACCAUGCCUAGUUUUGCUUCGACAUCUUACUGAUUUUCUUUUAUUAUCUGGAAGUUAAGUAGUGUCUUUCCUCAGGUGAAUCUUGGCAACUAUUUGGCUUCAAGAAUACAAAGCAUGGGAAACUUUUUAAAUGGCCUCUGCAUUGUCUUCGAGGUUUAGGUGCCCUUUGUUUCUCAUUGGUGUUGAAGGUUAUGGGUAAAGGCAGUUUGAUGUUCAGCUGGAGUAUAUCUAUCCAAUUUAAUUUUCCGUCAAGGACCUCCAGAAAUCCUUGAAGGCACUGACGGAGUGGUGGACAGUGAGGGCAUAGACUCGUAGAUGAUGAGCAGUUGGCUGCACUACACCCCCUGCAUAGUCAUACAAUUCGGUGAAGUAUCUGAGCUCGGAUGAGGGCGUGGAGGAAGAAGAUUAGCUGGAGUUUGAAGAGAAGGAUGAGUUUUAGUCAUUUGUCUGUCUUCCCGGUCAUGAGUUCUUGCUACUAGCUAGUGUCCUGUGUAAUAUAGUUGACUGCGAAAAUGUUAUGAUUUAUGUGUUUUUGCUGUGGCUGGGGCUAUGUAUGCAUAGUGCCUUACUUAGGUUUCCACCAUGUAGCUGGUGUGUGGCGAUCUACUACGUACAUGUAGAUAGCGUGUGUGCGUGUGUAAAAUCAAAUAAAUGCUUCUGUUAUGCUGAAAGCUUUCAGCAAUGCUUAUUUGGUUCACUAAGGGUGAUGUAACAAUAGAUAUUUCAAUGGUUUGAAGCAAAAAAAAAAUGCAUAA